GUAAGAACCAUAUCUUUCUUGAUCUGAAGAUGUGGCUUAGAUAUACUGUGCCCAGUGGGCCACUUUUGGUAAGCAGAACUGGCGCUGUGGGAUGAACCAAACGUGAUGUUACGGCGCCUAAAUUAAUGACUUAUAUUGAUACCAUGAAAGGCGUUGGUUGCUUAAAACAGCAGGACGGUGGACAUGGAAGUCGUAAUCCGCUAAGGAGUGUGUAACAACUCACCUGCCGAAGCAACUAGCCCUUAAAAUGGAUGGCGCUCAAGUCAUAUGCCUAUACAUCACCGCUAAAAUAGAGUGGUUUUUGCCGUUUUUAAUGGUAAAAAUUAAUGAAAUUUUAGUGAGUAGGAGGGUACAAUGGUGUGCGCAGAAGUGUUUGACGUGAGUCUGCAUGGAGCCGCCAUUGGCACAGAUCUUGGUGGUAGUAGCAAAUAAUCGAAUGAGAUCUUGGAGGACUGAAGUGGAGAAGGGUUUCGUGUGAACAGUGGUUGAUCACGAGUUAGUCGGUCCUAAGCUCUAUGCGAAAGCUGUUUAAUUUAUGUUACAAAGCAAAAUAUAUCUUUUAUAAUAUAUAGAUACAUAAUUUAUUCAGAGCGAAAGGGAAUACGGUUCCAAUUCCGUAACCUGUUGAGUAUACGUUUGUUUAUUAAAAAUGGGUUCUAAUCACACUCAUCCUGGUAACAGGAACAACCAUAGAGAAGCCUUCGAGAGAUACUGGAAGAGUUUUCUUUUCUGUUGAACAAUCGUAUCACCAUGGAAGUCUUUCACAGAGAGAUAUGGUGAAUGGAUUGGAAGAGCAUGACAUUUACUGUUGUGUCAGUAUUUUCUCCUUGGACCUUGAAAAUCUAUGGUAGGGCCACGCAAACCUCUCAACAGACCGUACCGAUAUCCGCAGCCGGUCUCCAA
rnacentral:rRNA from 1 species